rnacentral:rRNA from 1 species
AACGAACGCUGGCGGCGCGCCUAAUACAUGCAAGUCGAGCGAGAAGGUGUAGCAAUACACUUGUAAAGCGGCGAACGGGUGAGGAAUACAUGGGUGACCUACCCUCGAGUGGGGAAUAACUAGCCGAAAGGUUAGCUAAUACCGCAUACGAUUCCCGGAUUACGGUUCGGGAAGGAAAGCGAUACCGUGGGUAUCGCGCUCAUGGAUGGGCUCAUGUCCUAUCAGCUUGUUGGNGAGGUAACGGCUCACCAAGGCUUCGACGGGUAGCUGGUCUGAGAGGACGAUCAGCCCACACUGGCAC